rnacentral:rRNA from 1 species
UACGUAGGGGGCAAGCGUUGUCCGGAUUUAUUGGGCGUAAAGAGCGUGUAGGCGGCCUGAAAGGUCAGCUGUGAAAACUCGAGGCUCAACCUCGAGACGUCGGUUGAAACCAUCUGGCUAGAGUCCGGAAGAGGAGUGUGGAAUUCCCGGUGUAGCGGUGAAAUGCGUAGAUAUCAGGAGGAACACCGGUGGUGUAAACGGCUUUCUGGACCGUAACUGACGCUGAGGCACGAAAGCGUGGGUAGCAAACAGG